AAUAUCAUUCAUAAAAACUAACCUGCAUCAUGUCUUUUUUCUCACAAAUCUGUGUCUUUUAGUUUUUUAUCUCUCUAUUACUACAUAGUUUUUGCUUAGUCUCUCUCAAAAUCAAUCAAGCCUUCCUUAUCCUCCUCUUAAAUUACCAAGUCUACGACCCCCACUAAAUCCAUAUACUCUUAGUCAUCCAUGCAAGUGCUAACACUAC
rnacentral:lncRNA from 1 species